rnacentral:rRNA from 1 species
UGAGGAAUAUUGGUCAAUGGGCGCAAGCCUGAACCAGCCAUGCCGCGUGCAGGAUGAAGCAUCUAUGGUGUGUAAACUGCUUUUGUACGGGAAGAAACCACCCCUCGUGAGGGGUAUUGACGGUACCGUAAGAAUAAGGAUCGGCUAACUCCGUGCCAGCAGCCGCGGUAAUACGGAGGAUCCAAGCGUUAUCCGGAAUCAUUGGGUUUAAAGGGUCCGUAGGCGGGUCUGUAAGUCAGUGGUGAAAUCCUGCCGCUUAACGGUAGAAUUGCCAUUGAUACUGAAAAGCUUGAGUACAAUUGAGGUAAGCGGAAUGUGUAGUGUAGCGGUGAAAUGCUUAGAUAUUACAUGGAAUACCAAUUGCGAAGGCAGGUUACUACUUGUGGAUUGACGCUGAUGGACGAAAGCGUGGGGAGCGAACA